rnacentral:rRNA from 1 species
AGAGUUUGAUCCUGGCUCAGAUUGAACGCUGGCGGCAGGCUUAAGCACAUGCAAGUCGAGCGGGGGAAGGUAGCUUGCUACUGGACCUAGCGGCGGACGGGCGAGUAAUGCUUAGGAAUCUGCCUAUUAGUGGGGGACAACAUCUCGAAAGGGAUGCUAAUACCGCAUACGUCCUACGGGAGAAAGCAGGGGGAUCUUCGGACCUUGCGCUAAUAGAUGAGCCUAAGUCGGAUUAGCUAGUUGGUGGGGUAAAGGCCUACCAAGGCGACGAUCUGUAGCGGGUCUGAGAGGAUGAUCCGCACACUGGGACUGAGACACGGCCAGACUCCUACGGGAGGCAGCAGUGGGGAAUAUUGGACAAUGGGGGGAACCCUGAUCCAUCCAUGCCGCGUGUGUGAAGAAGGCCUUAUGGUUGUAAAGCACUUUAAGCGAGGAGGAGGCUACUUUAGUUAAUACCUAGAGAUAGUGGACGUUACUCGCAGAAUAAGCACCGGCUAACUCUGUGCCAGCAGCCGCGGUAAUACAGAGGGUGCGAGCGUUAAUCGGAUUUACUGGGCGUAAAGCGUGCGUAGGCGGCUUAUUAAGUCGGAUGUGAAAUCCCCGAGCUUAACUUGGGAAUUGCAUUCGAUACUGGUGAGCUAGAGUAUGGGAGAGGAUGGUAGAAUUCCAGGUGUAGCGGUGAAAUGCGUAGAGAUCUGGAGGAAUACCGAUGGCGAAGGCAGCCAUCUGGCCUAAUACUGACGCUGAGGUACGAAAGCAUGGGGAGCAAACAGGAUUAGAUACCCUGGUAGUCCAUGCCGUAAACGAUGUCUACUAGCCGUUGGGGCCUUUGAGGCUUUAGUGGCGCAGCUAACGCGAUAAGUAGACCGCCUGGGGAGUACGGUACGCAAGACUAAAACUCAAAUGAAUUUGACGGGGGCCCGCACAAGCGGUGGAGCAUGUGGUUUAAUUCGAUGCAACGCGAAGAACCUUACCUGGCCUUGACAUACUAGAAACUUUCCAGAGAUGGAUUGGUGCCUUCGGGAAUCUAGAUACAGGUGCUGCAUGGCUGUCGUCAGCUCGUGUCGUGAGAUGUUGGGUUAAGUCCCGCAACGAGCGCAACCCUUUUCCUUACUUGCCAGCAUUUCGGAUGGGAACUUUAAGGAUACUGCCAGUGACAAACUGGAGGAAGGCGGGGACGACGUCAAGUCAUCAUGGCCCUUACGGCCAGGGCUACACACGUGCUACAAUGGUCGGUACAAAGGGUUGCUACACAGCGAUGUGAUGCUAAUCUCAAAAAGCCGAUCGUAGUCCGGAUUGGAGUCUGCAACUCGACUCCAUGAAGUCGGAAUCGCUAGUAAUCGCGGAUCAGAAUGCCGCGGUGAAUACGUUCCCGGGCCUUGAACACACCGCCCGUCACACCAUGGGAGUUUGUUGCACCAGAAGUAGCUAGCCUAACUGCAAAGAGGGCGGUUACCACGGUGUGGCCGAUGACUGGGGUGAAGUCGUAACAAGGUAGCC